GGCAGUUCUCAGAUGACACACCCCGGAAUCGGGCCCCCUCCUCUCUGGUUCCAGGUGCAUUACCCAAGAACCGCA
rfam:Myotis lucifugus cont2.13621, whole genome shotgun sequence.